UCUUAGUAUGCAUGAAUCUGUUUUCUUGAAGGAUGUCUAACACAUAUUUCUUUUGGUGAAGGAAAAGACCAGCUUCAGAACGUGCAACCUGCAGCCCCAGGAAAUAUUUGACAUAUCCCAAAUCUUUGAUGGUGAAGAGUUUAUCUAGGCAGCGAUCAAAAGAGGAUUGGCUGAACCCAUAUUAUUUCAAACAAUUGGUAAUUGUUUCCAUUCAGAGGUGAGCUGACGAGGAUCAUGCUGGGAGAGUCAGAAUUCAAUAGUCUGAUCGUCUUGUCUUCUUUAUCGGCUGUUUUUGGUAUGGUUUCUUCGAAAAUUUCUGUCAUCAUGCUUGUUACGUAAGGUGUAUGGAGAGAAAUGAGGGAUGAAUUUCUCCAGAUCUAGAUCUG